GACGAACGCUGGCGGCGUGCUUAAUACAUGCAAGUCGAGCGGUGAACCCGACUGAAAGCCUUCGGGCUUGACGUUGGGGGAUCAGCGGCGGAUGGGUGAGUAACGCGUGGGUACCUGCCCUAAAGUCUGGGAUAACAACUCGAAAGGGUUGCUAAUACCGGAUGUGACCGAGAGGUUAAAGGCAGAGAUGUCGCUUUAGGAUGGGCCCGCGUCCCAUUAGCUAGUUGGUGAGGUAAGGGCUCACCAAGGCUGCGAUGGGUAGCCGGCCUGAGAGGGUGGACGGCCACACUGGGACUGAGACACGGCCCAGACUCCUACGGGAGGCAGCAGUAGGGAAUUUUCCGCAAUGGACGGAAGUCUGACGGAGCGACGCCGCGUGGGGAAGAAGGCCUUCGGGUUGUAAACCUCUGUCUUCAGGGACGAAGAGGGUGUGGGAGACACACCGAAGCCGGUACCUGAGGAGGAAGCCCCGGCUAACUACGUG
rnacentral:rRNA from 1 species